rnacentral:lncRNA from 1 species
AAUUGUUCCUAUAGAACAGACAUACUUUAAAGCAUUGAUUCUACUGUUCUCAUUGCUUGUCUUACACUGGGUUUUCCUUAUUCAGAGCUAUUUUGCCUUUAAAACCUACAUAAGCCCCCACCCCUUACAUUUUAAAGUACUUUAAAAUAUAAAAGGAAUUUUGAUUUUUUUUAUUGCAGAAUGAAAAAUUUGGCCAAGAGAUUUGUAUUUAUGGUUUCUGUUUUCUAUUCUUUAGUUGAAUUAGUAUUUAUUUGGAAGUAGGCUAACAGUUUUAUUAGCAUAUAUGCAUUGUAAUAAUAAUGGGUUUAGUAUAUUUUUAUACAUGUAACCUUUUUUUUAAGAUUUAUUUAUUAUAUAUAAGUACUCUGUAGCUGUCUUCAGACACUUUUUUUUCUUGCUCCAGCCCUGCUUGCUCUGGCCCUACAUGUAAUAUUUAAAAAAAUUUUUUUGCCUGUAAAACAAACCCUUGCUCCCUCUUCACUGCCUUUUUUAAUAGAUAGAUACAGAUAAAUAAAAACUGUUAUUACCUAAAAAUUAAGAGCAGUGUGUUAGAAAAAUUAUUAGUCUUGUCAGGAAAUAAGUUGUGCUUGAUCGGCUUCUGGGAUGUGAAUCUAGGUCACUGGGAGGCAGUGUGUUGAGUAUAUAUAGGUGUUCUCUAAUAUUAAAAUAGAAACUUUUUUUCCUGACAAUGUCCUCUCCCUCAACCACUUUUUCUUUAUAUAAAGUGAUGUUCAUAAUUUUGCCUCAAGUUAAUGAAUUUUAAUUGUCUUUCUUUGUUUCUUUGUCUCAGCUGUGUUGAUCUGGCUGUCCUAGAACUCACUGUGAUAGCCAGGCUGGCCUCCAGCUCAGAUUCUGUUUGCCUUUGCCUACUCAGUGAAUUGUCUAAUUUUUUUUGUUCCGUAUUUUAAGUCUACUUUUAUUAAGGGAGUACUGAAAGGGAACAUUUAUACUAAAUGACUUUAUAUAGCAUAAUCUUUUAAGAGCUUUGUUUUUUAAUGAAAGCUUUCUUUUGAAGACUUUGUUUUUGUUUGCUUUUUUUGCUGCCAAUUUGUCGAAUUCAAAGUGGGGCCUCUGGAAUGCUGGGUAAGCACUCUACCUCCAGCUGCAUUCCUAACCGGCAGCUUAGAUUUUAUGGUCACAUUCUUAGUAGGAAGAAGGACACUUUGUGUUGGUAAGAAUAACACAUUCGGUUUGGUUCAUUGUUUGAGACAGGUCUUUGUGGUUCCGGGUAGUCUUAACUUCACGAUCCUGCUUGGGAAGACAGGGUCUCUUACCGUAGCACAUGCUGGCCUCUAACUGUGGUCACUCUUCUGCCUCAGCCUCUUAGGUCCAAGCAGGACUAUGCCUGGCUCUUUUUAAUUUUGGAAUUGCGAGUUUCUGCAUUGUAUAUGCUAAGUUCAACCCCCCAACCUUUGGGAGGGCACUUUGUGGCAACACAGUGUCUGGUGAGUUUUUCACUUCCCUGCUUUUCGGUGGGUUCAGCAGUGCCGCUUGCUUUCUCUGCUGGGGCAGGCAGGUUGCUCUCUUCAGUUGUCCUACAGUGAGUGCCUGUGACGGGCACAGGCUUCACUGUGUUCCAGGGUUUGUCUUCUUCCGUCACUUGCCACCACCAUAGAAGCCUUUUAGAUUCUGGGAUCAGGACCCUCUAGGGUUGUCCACGCAGUCUAGCAAGUUUUGCCCUUUUUCUGUCACCCUUCAUCUCCCCUAGCUUUAUGCUGAAAGAGGUGUUUAUAUAUUUUACUUUUGUCUAUCUGUACAAAUCAAGUCAAAAGUGGUAGUUUUUCUGGUUAACUUGUUACCAAAUUACUAUUUACCACUAUACCUCUGCAAGUUGCCUGUGAUGUUGCUUGUUAAGGUAGUUGGAGUAGAUACAUUCUUACGAGCAGUAAAACAUGCAAAACUUGAAUUGCAUGCAGUUUGAGUUUUGAGAAGUGAAGAUGACUGUGCCUACAUUAUCAUUAUAAUAGAUUACUUAAUAUAUUUUAUAUUACUAAUGUGUAUGUUUUAAUGACUUACAAAUCAGUAACAAGGAUCAUAAAGUGGAUUGUCACUUAAUAGAGAUUUGGUUCACUUGAGUUUUAUAGCUCAAUUCUGAUACGUUAUCUUUUUCUGUAAUUACAUCUUAUAAAGAAAGGGUGAACAUUUAUUCAGUUUAGCUUUAUUGCAACCAAAAACUUCUGAAUAUCUUCAUUUGGAAAGCUAGAUUCAGAUUGAAUGCUUAUACCAAAAUAAGGAUUUAUGAAGAUUUUGGAAAUUGUUAUGAUUUUAUCCGUACCUAAUCAUAGAAAAUAUAUGUUUGUAAUGCAAGAAUUUUGUGUAAAGUAGCUUGUAUCUAAUUUGUCAGUUUGAGGCACUUUUACUGUUUUGGUAUGACAGUCUUUGACGUCUUCGGACUCUAUGUGUUUUCUCUCAUUCCCUUUCAGUAGAGAUGACGCCUCUCUCUUUCCAUUAUUCCAUUUAAAAUUAUUUUUCAGAAAGCAUUACAAAUAAAUAGGCGAGACACAGCAAUGAAAUUAUAGUCAUAUGGACAUUAAUCAACAGCUUAUAACAACCUGGUAUUAGUUUUCAUGAUUUUUGAUGGAUAGCAGAUGUGCAUACUGUUACAAAGUAGGACUGUAACCACAUAUCCUUAAUUCUUUAGUAUCAAUUAAAUAUGUUUACACUCUUAAUUCAAAGUCAGAGUAGAAGCAUUGAGGUUAAAAUAAAUUAGGAGGCAAGCAGGUGCCGUAAUCCAAGAGUGAGUAACUGCUGAUGAAAAGGAGGGUUCUCCCGAAUGAGACUGUGGCCUGGCUUUUGAGAAAUGGAGAUUUUUUUUUUCUUUUUUUUUUGGUUUUUCGAGACAGGGUUUCUCUGUGUAGCCCUGGCUGUCCUGGAACUCACUUUGUAGACCAGACUGGCCUCGAACUCAGAAAUCCUCCUGCCUCUGCCUCCCAAGUGCUGGGAUUAAAGGCGUGCGCCACUACGUCCAGCUAAGAAAUGGAGAUAAUUUAUCAACCUACUGAGCGCUUCCCUGACCUUACUUUUGAAGGCAUUGAUUAAAAAGCCUUACAGACUAUAUUCUUACACUAGUUGAAUUUAGCAAUUUAUUAGUACUUCUAGGUAUCCAUAGCUCACUGAGAGAGGGGUUAAGUGCAGUAAAACCCAACCAAACCUCCUCCUCCAUCUGUGCCCAUCAAUUAGCUUUCACUUCUGAGUUCAAAGUCAGAUAAGAGUGGAGGCAGGGGCUUAUCUCAACCAUCUCACCGUGGCUGUCUGGGUGAGGGUGGCAUUUGAUCUUCACUGUUUGUGUUCUUCCGAGUUCCCCUAAGGGGCUGUAGCCUUGUGAUGCUUCCCAUUCUGGAAACCCAAGCCUGCAUGAACAGGUUACGCUUCCUUCCUCACACUGCCUAUUUUCCUUUUCU